rnacentral:lncRNA from 1 species
CUGUCUGCAUGACGCAUCAGGUCCACUUGAACUUGGGGGGAUGAGAACUCAGACUCUUCAUGGCCUUCCUCCUCCUCAAAAUCCUCCUGAUCCCCAGCCCUAGAGCAUGCCAACAACAUCAUGGUCCAUCUCCUUCUGCGAGAAUCACAGAAAGAUUGGAUCUCAUACAACAGACCCACAGGCUCUAUGCACCAGUGUCACUGUCCCCUUUUCUAUCAUAUGGAAUGGUCACUGGGGUGUAGCUUCACAUCAGACACUACGCCUUCAAGCCCCCUUUGUAGCCAGAUGGGGAUGUGAACCUAUCUGUGCCUGUUGGAUGUGA